rnacentral:rRNA from 1 species
UACAGAGGAGGCAAGCGUUGUUCGGAAUCACUGGGCUUAAAGCGCGUGUAGGCGGCCAUGCAAGUACUUUGUGAAAUCCCUCGGCCCAACCGGGGAAUUGCUUGGUAUACUGCAGGGCUUGAGGCGGGUAGGGGCUGUCGGAACAAACGGUGGAGCGGUGAAAUGCGUAGAUAUCGUUUGGAACGCCAAUGGUGAAAACAGACAGCUGGGAGUGUGCUGACGCUGAGACACGAAAGCCAGGGGAGCGAACGGG